rnacentral:rRNA from 1 species
AGAGUUUGAUCCUGGCUCAGAACAAACGCUGGCGGCGUGCCUAACACAUGCAAGUCGUACGAGAAAGUCGGCUUCGGCCGAUGAGUACAGUGGCGCACGGGUGAGUAGCGCGUGGGUAAUCUGCCCCUCGGUCAGGAAUAACCCGCCGAAAGGCGGGCUAAUACCAGAUAACACUGACGCUCUGCGGAGCGUCUUUCAAAGAAGGCCUCUGUUUACAAGCUUUCGCCGGAGGAUGAGCCCGCGUACCAUUAGCUAGUUGGCAGGGUAAUGGCCUACCAAGGCAACGAUGGUUAGCUGGUCUGAGAGGAUGGCCAGCCACACUGGAACUGAGACACGGUCCAGACUCCUACGGGAGGCAGCAGUGAGGAAUCUUGCGCAAUGGGGGAAACCCUGACGCAGCAACGCCGCGUGAGUGAGGAAGGCUUUCGGGUCGUAAAGCUCUGUCAGAUGGGAAGAAAUGGAUGGGAGCCAAUACCUUUCAUUCUUGACGGUACCAUCAGAGGAAGCACCGGCUAACUCCGUGCAGCAGCGCGUAUACGGGGGGUGCAAGCGU